AUUGAACGCUGGCGGCAUGCCUUACACAUGCAAGUCGAACGGCAGCGGGGGAGAAGCUUGCUUUUCCUGCCGGCGAGUGGCGAACGGGUGAGUAAUACAUCGGAACGUGCCCUGUAGUGGGGGAUAACUAGUCGAAAGAUUAGCUAAUACCGCAUACGACCUGAGGGUGAAAGUGGGGGACCGCAGGGCCUCAUGCUAUAGGAGCGGCCAAUGUCUGAUUAGCUAGUUGGUGGGGUAAAGGCCUACCAAGGCGACGAUCAGUAGCUGGUCUGAGAGGACGAUCAGCCACACUGGGACUGAGACACGGCCCAGACUCCUACGGGAGGCAGCAGUGGGGAAUUUUGGACAAUGGGCGAAAGCCUGAUCCAGCAAUGCCGCGUGUGUGAAGAAGGCCUUCGGGUUGUAAAGCACUUUUGUCCGGAAAGAAAUGGCUCUGGUUAAUACCUGGGGUCGAUGACGGUACCGGAAGAAUAAGGACCGGCUAACUACGUGCCAGCCGCCGCGGUAA
rnacentral:rRNA from 1 species